AAUGCGUUUAUAUGGGGAUAUGUGAACGUUAAUUGGCCGACUACUGUACAUUUCAGGCUUCUCUGUGGUUGUGGGCGUGUUUUGACGUUUGGUUUUGUGCGAUUUGAACGCUUCCUAGUUUGACACAUUGUAAUAGUUUUAUUACAUACUGUAUUGUACCUGACCUGUAGGCUAAGUAGCCUAUUAUACCGUGUUAGAAAGAGCAUCAAUCGGACACCCAAUAGAACGCCUCGAGCGCACAUUCAAUGACGCGUACCCUGACACGCGCUGAAGAGAACUGCCUUUAUCAACCGACAUUCUUCCUGAUGUCACUUCUCAACAUGCCGACCACCUGUUUUAUGACCGUGAUCUGGUGGCUCACAACCGAUUCAACUCGUAGUCAAACAGCAAUUCCCAAUGGUCACGGAGGGGUAGAUGCGGUUCUGGGGGUGUCCAACGCCAGCGUCCUCCUGCUGGACCCCAGCUCUGAGACACUCUACCUGGGAGCCAGAGGCUCCA